rnacentral:rRNA from 1 species
AACCCUCGUUCCAUGUUGCCAGCACGUYGUGGUGGGGAYUCAUGGGAGACUGCCGGGGUCAACUCGGAGGAAGGUGAGGACGACGUCAAAUCAUCAUGCCCCUUAUGUCUUGGGCUUCACGCAUGCUACAAUGGCCGGUACCGAUGGGUUGCGAUACUGUGAGGYUGGAGCUAAUCCCAAAAACKCCGGUCUCAGUUCGGAUUGGGGUCUGCAACUCYGACCCCAUGAAGUCGGAGUCGCUAGUAAUCGCAGAUCAGCAACGCUGCGGUGAAUACGUUCCCGGGCCUUGUACACACCGCCCGUCAAGUCACGAAAGUUGGUAACACCCGAAGCCGGUGGCCUAACCYUKGGGGGGAGC